ACGGAUAUGCUGGAAUUGGUAGACAGGUCCUGCUUAGGACGGGAUGAAUAAAAUCGUAUAAGUUCAAGUCUUAUUAUCUGUA
rnacentral:tRNA from 1 species